UCCGGGGCCCUGCGGUUUCCUGUCUCGCUCUGCGUAGGCCCGACAAGGCCGGGCCGCGGGUCGGUAGCACCGUCAGGAGCUGGUGGGGGUGUAGGGCCGCCGCGCGGCGGGAGCAGCAAGGGAAGGGCCCGGAGCGCAGGAGGCAGUGUGAGAUGGCCUUUCCCCGAGGAGAGGGGCCGGAGAGGAAGGCUGGGGCCGAACCUGGGGCUGGUGGGGAGGUGCAUGGCAGCACCGUGCUGGCCUGCUGAUGCUGAGGCGUAGCUGGUUUGCAGCGAUUGCAGGAAAUGGCCCCCCUCACCCGGAGGAGCUAGUCCCUGCCUGGAUUUCCCUUGGGUCCUCUAGCUCCCUGCCCCCCCGGGGCUCUAGUGACACAGAGAGGUGCUAAGGGGGCACCGGUUGCUGGCAGCUCCCCGGGGACCCCUGAGGCCUUCCACAGGCACUUGCCUGGGCCGAGGAGGUGGUGGCUGGUGAGAGGAAAGAGUUGCUGAGAAGGAGCCUCAGAAAGGAGUUGUUUGACCCAUGUGUGCAUGCAUGUGGGAAAGAAAAGCUUUAGGGGUCUGGAGUAGGGCACGUGGGCCUGCUGCUGUGCCCAGCCCCCUGCUCCAACCGCCCCCCUUCCUCCUUCCCCCACCCCCUGAGUGUAUGAGAGCUGGGAGUGGGUCCUGCGGGAGCUGGUGGCCAAGCAAGGGCCUCUGUGUCAUCAGGGUCCUGGGAUGACUGGGAAAAGGGGGAUGUUUUCAGUACUGAUGAUGGUCAUGCGUGUGCCUAGAAGCAGAGGCGUUGUCAGGAGAAGUUUCUUUAUUGGACAGAUUCCCCAAGGCAUUGUGAACUGAGCCUGGCACCCAGGCAGGGCAGGGCAGUGCAGUGAGUUCCCAUCCUAGCCCUUCAGACAGCAGAGCAAAGCCUCUCUGCUGUGUAGGGCCUGGGCAGGGCUGAGCCCCCAGCAGGUCAGGCCUUGAGGAGUGCCCCUGGCUGUGUCCUGGGGAUGCUGCUGUCAUGCUGGGGUUGGCUGAAGUCCUGCUGUGGCCCAAGGCUGUACAGCACUAACCAUCUGACAUGACAGGAGCAUGCCAGUAGCAGGCAGCUCCAGGCAUCUCCCCUGGCUCCAGCGCUCUCUGCCAUGACCCCCAGGAGCCCUCCAUCCUGCUCCGCAUGGCCUCAUCCCUCCCAGCUCGGCCUGGGAAGGAUGCUCAGCGAUGGCUGGAGCAGCUGGCCAGAUCUUGCUUUUAUUGCAGACCCAGCACUGGAAACUGGAGAAACUGGACAUCCUCACCCCUUUUCUCACCUUCUUGGGGACCAUCCUGUGGAACUCUAGCUGCUGUGUGUCAGCCAGCUGAAGGCCAAGCUGGACGGCCAGUAGCAUCCCAGUGGAUGGACGGUGAAGCCCCUAUGCAUCUGGUUGGGUAAGAGCCUCGUGGCCAGAAGACCCAGCUCCCAGUGCCGGAGGUGACAGGGAAGGUGUCCCCAGAUCCCUGGCAUAGGAUCUGGGGUCAGACCCUGGCAAGGUCCUUGGGGACAUGGGCCCAUUUUGUGAUCUCCAGCACUGCACCGCUCCUUCCAUGAGGACAACCUUGGCUGGCAGAUGCCAGCAGUGGCAGCUGUGGUCAUGGCAGCCCCACUGCAUCUUGUAGGAGGCAUGUGUGAUCGCCACAGGCAGCCCUGGGCCUUGGACAGAGUCCUGCUCCCCGUUAGAGGAAGCUGGCUGGCUCCUUGCUGGCACAAGUCACCUCCACCUUGACCUCAUCUUGACCUUCUGGCCAGGGCAUCCUGUGGUGAUGGGCCCCAGACACAUAUUCCCUAUGAGGUCAUGCAUAGGAAAUCCCCAAACAUGGCUGGUGAGACACCUGGAGGCUCCCUGUGAAGCAGUGACAGGCAUCGCCUGCAGCACACGAGAUAACCAUGCUGGUGAGGCCUGGGGACAGGGCAGCGCAGGCCCCUCAUGCUGCCAGGGAACUCUGGGGACAAAGUGCUGUGUUCCCUGGGGAGAGCAAUUUCUGGCAGGGAGGAAUAGGAGCCAUUAGGGAGCUGCCUGUGCCAGUGCCUGUGCCAGUGCCAGCACUGAGCAUUGCAGGGGUGUGCUGGCAGUGCUUCCUUCUCUGGACCAGGGAAACUGUUUGCCUGUGGCACCUUGCCAGCCAGACCAGAUGGUGGGAUAGUGCUGGGGCAAUUUCUGUUCGAGUUUCCAGCAAGGCUUUUGACACUGUCUCCCAUCACAUCCUCGUAGGUAAACUCAGGAAGUGUGGGCUAGAUGAGUGGAC